rnacentral:rRNA from 1 species
ACGAACGCUGGCGGCAUGCCUAACACAUGCAAGUCGAACGGGAUCCUGGUUUCGGCCAGGUGAGAGUGGCGGACGGGUGAGUAACGCGUGGGAACCUGCCCAGUGGUGGGGGAUAACUGCGGGAAACUGCAGCUAAUACCGCAUGAGCCCGAAAGGGGAAAGAUUGAUCGCCAUUGGAGGGGCCCGCGUUCGAUUAGGUAGUUGGUGAGGUAACGGCUCACCAAGCCUUCGAUCGAUAGCUGGUCUGAGAGGAUGAUCAGCCACACUGGGACUGAGAUACGGCCCAGACUCCUACGGGAGGCAGCAGUGGGGAAUAUUGGACAAUGGGGGCAACCCUGAUCCAGCAAUGCCGCGUGAGUGAUGAAGGCCUUCGGGUUGUAAAGCUCUUUUGGCGGGGACGAUGAUGACGGUACCCGCAGAAUAAGCCCCGGCUAACUUCGUGCCAGCCGCCGCGGUAAUU